AAGUGACAGUCCCUCUUUAACUGAACUAAAACGGAAAUUAGCCAGGAAAAGAACAUUAAGGUAUUUUAAAAAAAAUUCUAUGUCACCAAUGGGUUAAGCUCCCCCCUCUCAAUUGAUAGGACAGGAAUAAUAAACUUUGAAUUAACAUAUAAAGGACUCUCCUACCCAAUACCAGCAGUCAAGUUUUCAAAAAAAACUGAAUGGGAGGAACUUUAGAUGCCAACAUUAAUAUUAGCCAGGAAAAGAAAGUUACUGUAGGUAUAUUUCAAAUUGUCUGUUUUCCUGGCUAAUCCAUGUUAGCAUCAGUAAUGGGACUUCCAAAGCGAAUUGGGCGGGAAUUGAUCGAACAAAACAGAAUGCUGCUAACUUAAGUUUAUUUGUGGAAAACUGCAGAAGUUAGAACACUUUCCCUAAAAGAUUGUGAAGCUUGACUUGAUACAUUUAGGCGGUAGUGUCUUACAAAUGUUUUGGAUGAAGACCAAGUUGCAGCCCUACAUAUUUCUUCAGUAGAUGUGUCUGCCAAAAAUGCCCAAAAUUCAGAGACAGCCCUGGCUGAAUGAGCCUUAAUCCCUUCAGGAAUAACUUUUUCCUAAAACUUUGUAUACUUUCUGAAUGGCAGAUGUUAUCCAUCUUUGUGUUGUUGGAAUUGAUCCCGGCAUACCUCUCCUAUAACCAAACGGAAUUACAAAGAGUUUUUCUAAUAUUCUUGGUUCUCUCAAGGUAGGCCUUUAGGGCUCUUACUACAUCAUGUUUAUGCCAAUAGGUCUAAUCCUCUAAUGAUGGAUUUGGGGAAAAAAGUAGGUAGAAUUAUUUCAUGAUUUAGGUGAAAUCUUGAGACUUCCUUUGGCAAGAAUUCCAGGAUUGUUACCGCCUUUUCUCCCAGGAAUUGAGUAACAGGAGAUUCAGAAGAUAAAGCCCAUAGCUCCAAAGCUCUGCGAGCUGACAUGAUGGCAAUCAAGAAAAUGCAUUUCAAUUAUAUAUCCCAUGUGGAUGAGGAUUCUAUAGGUUCAAAUGGAGGGCUUGCAAUACUGUGAAGAACUCUGGGUAGAUCCCACGCGGGAAUUCAAUUCUUUAUUGGGGGUCUGAUACGCAUUACACCCCUUAUGAAAUGCUUGAUAGUAGGAUCCAGAGCCAAUUGUCUAUUAGAUAUAGCUGAAAAGGACGAUAUUUGAACUUUUAGGGAGCUCAGGCUUAGACCUUUCUCCAGGACUUUCUGCAAAAACCCCAGCAGAUCUGGAAGGUUAAUCGAACUUGUAUUUUUCCCCAUAAAUCUUGCCCAAUCUUAGUAGGCUUUCCAAAUUGUAUAGUAUAAAUUAGAAGUAUUGCUAUUUCUUGAUUUUAGAAUAGUUUUCAGCUCUAUCAUACAGACCUCUUGACUUUAGGAUGUUCUUUUCAAUUUCCAGGACCUUAAUUGAAAUUGAGCAGGAUUGUCGUGAUGGAUAGAGAGUGCAUCUUGCCCCUUCGCUCUUGGAACAAAUCUCCUGGAAAAGAAGAUAGGAAGUUGCUUGUUUUUAAAAGUUGCCAUGGGUCUAUUACUGGCUUUCCCUGUUUCUUGGAAUAUCUUUGUGUCUAGUUUCCAUUCUCCUGAGUCUAUAUAAUUCCUGUUCAGAUAGUCUGCCACUUUGUUUUCUUUUCCUGGAAGGUAGAUAGCUGGGAGACCUUCUAAAUUUUGCUGAGCCCAGAAGAUAAUGGGUUUUGUUUCUUGAAUUAACUUCUUGCUUUUGGUUCUGCCUUGGUGAUUUAUAUAUGCCAUAGUUGUUAUUUAUUUAUUUAUAAAAUAUUUUACCAUGAAAGACACAUUGAGACUUCUCUCGUUUUCAAGUAUGUCCUGGGUCCACAAAUCAUGUUGUCCACUUGUACUUUUACCCAUUUGUUCUUCAGGAAAGUCUUGAAAGCAGUCAAGGCUCGAUAUACUGCUCUUAUUUCCAGGAUGUUCGACUGUAAGUUCCAGUUGUUUAAUGGCCAAACUCCUCGUGUUAGGUGGUCUAUCAAUUGAGCACCCCAACCUUUCCCACUGGCAUCCGUUGUCACCAUUUCUCAUUCUUGGUACUCCAGUGCGCCUUUGUUCAGUAAUCUUGAUAUUUUGUCUGCGGACAAUGAUAUCCAAUAUGUCCUCGAGUUGAUCCAUGCUCCUAGGAAGUUUAUAUCUUGGAAUAGAUCUAAUUGGCUGUUGUUGAAGUUCAGGAUCGAUCUGAAUUCCUAUAAGGUCUGUAUCACCAUGUCUUUGUGUUGUAAUAAAAAAGUAGUGGGCCUAUUGUUUACCACCAGAAUAUCGUUCAAAUAACGGAAUAUUUUUAAUCCUUUUUCUCUCAGGAUUGCUAUGAUAUUGAUCAGGAUUUUUGAAAAUGUCCUGAGUGCUGUGGUAAGACCGAAUGGCAUACCUUGCAACUGACAAUGGUUGUUGAAUGUCCAGAACCUCAGAUAUUUUCCGUGUUUGGGUGCGAUUGUUAUAUGGUAGUAGGCAUCUACUGAAUUUAGCCAAUCUGAUGUAUGCAGUUGUGGAAUUAUUGAUUGAAAGCUUUCCAUCUUGAAUGUUCUCUUAUUUAGGAAUGUAUUUAGGUUGCUUAGAUCCAGUAUCCAUCUCCAUUUUCCUGAUGGUUUCGGAGCGAGAAAACUGUGGAGUAAUUCCCUGUAAAUUCUUCCGUGUAGGGUACUUGACAAAUAACCUUCUGAUGUAUAAGCUUCUUUAUGCAUUCUUUCAGUUGUAAUUCUUUAUUAACUGAUAUUGAUGACGUGAUCAUGGUAAGCUUUGGAGCUUUUUUGAAUUCUAGCAAGGACCCUCUUUCUAUAGUUCAUACGAAAGAGGGGCUUCCUUACUGUCUCAAAUAUAAUAAGAUGCUGUAAUUCAUGUGUAUAUUGAGGAUGAGAAUAGAGAUGAUUUCUUUAAUUACUAUUUACUAAGAUAGUAAUCUUAACCCAAGGAGUCCCAAUCUGCUUGGGCUGUAUCUGGGUUCUUCCUUAGGGAGAGAAGCUGAACUCCCUAGAGGGCCACAUUGAGAAACGUAUUUCAGAUGAAGCUGGAGGACAGGGAAAAAACACUGCUGGUAUUGGGGAGGAGGGUCCUUUAUAUAUGUUAAUUCAAAGUUUAUUAUCCCUGUCCUAUCAGCUGAGAGGGAGGCACAUAACCCAUUAGUGAUGCUGACAUGGAUUAGCCAGGAAAAUCAUAUGUGACUUAAGCUCUGGAUGUUAAAAUCUUUUAUUUCUCAUGCAAUCACACACUUUCCAAUAAUUAAAACAGACAUUCUAAAAAUAAUGGUACUAGUGGCAGAUGAGAUGAGAGGAGAGGAUGAGACCUGUGAAAGGAGAGGAGGGGAAGAGGACACUGUGAAGGAAUAUGAGGUGAGGAUGAAGACUGUGAAGGAAGAGAGUGGAGGCUGCAAUAAAUGAUAGAACAGUGGAGGCUGCAAUAAAUGAUGAGGGAAGAGUGGCGACGGUAAUAAAAGAUAGGAUGAUGAAAGAUGAGAGAUGUUGAUGAAAUUUCAAUCUUUUUUAAACUAAUAUGUAAC